UGGGGAAUUUUCCGCAAUGGGGGGAACCCUGACGGAGCAACGCCGCGUGGGGGAGGAAUGUCUGUGGAUUGUAAACCCCUUUUCUCAGGGAAGAAGCUCUGACGGUACCUGAGGAAUCAGCAUCGGCUAACUCCGUGCCAGCAGCCGCGGUAAGACGGAGGAUGCAAGCGUUAUCCGGAAUUAUUGGGCGUAAAGCGUCCGUAGGCGGUGAAUCAAGUCUGUUGUCAAAGGCUGCAGCUCAACUGCGGAACGGCAAUGGAAACUGUUUUACUAGAGUGCGGUAGGGGUAGAGGGAAUUCCCAGUGUAGCGGUGAAAUGCGUAGAUAUUGGGAAGAACACCAGUGGCGAAGGCGCUCUACUGGGCCGCAACUGACGCUGAGGGACGAAAGCUAGGGGAGCGAAUGGGAUUAGAUACCCC
rnacentral:rRNA from 1 species